ACCUGGCUGGCUCAGUCAGUAGAGCAUGCGUCUCUUAAUCUCAAGGUCAUGAGUUCAAGCCCCAUGUUGGGCA
rnacentral:tRNA from 1 species